UACGGGGGGGGUAAGCGUUGUUCGGAAUUACUGGGCGUAAAGGGCUCGUAGGCGGCCAACUAAGUCAGACGUGAAAUCCCCAGGCUCAACUUGGGAACUGCGUCUGAUACUGGAUGGCUUGAAUUCGGGAGAGGGAUGCAGAAUUCCAGGUGUAGCGGUGAAAUGCGUAGAUAUCUGGAGGAAUACCGGUGGCGAAGGCGGCAUCCUGGACCGAGAUUGACACUGAGGAGCGAAAGCUAGGGGAGCAAACGGG
rnacentral:rRNA from 1 species